GUUUGAGAAGGCAAAGACUGGCACUGGAGUUGAAGCCCAUCAAAGUUGUUUCAACAUGGCACAUGAUCGGGUGGACCUCAUCAGACCCUUCACGAAAUCCAGGAAUGGCAUCAGCUGGUGUCUGACGGUGACCGAUCACUUUACCAAGUGGGUGGAGGCGAUACCCAUUAAGGACGAGACUAGCGAGGCCACCUCCGAGGCGAUGGUGGACUAUCUUCAACAUCCACGGUUCUCCUGAGGUCAUG